UACGUAGGUGGCAAGCGUUGUCCGGAUUUAUUGGGCGUAAAGAGCUCGUAGGCGGUUCCGUAAGUCAGAUGUGAAAACUCAGGGCUCAACCCGGAGACGCCAUCUGAUACUGCGGUGACUGGAGUCUGGUAGGGGAACACGGAAUUCCUGGUGUAGCGGUGAAAUGCGCAGAUAUCAGGAGGAACACCGAUGGCGAAGGCAGUGUUCUGGGCCAGUACUGACGCUGAGGAGCGAAAGCGUGGGGAGCAAACAGG
rnacentral:rRNA from 1 species